rnacentral:rRNA from 1 species
UACAGAGGUCUCAAGCGUUGUUCGGAUUCAUUGGGCGUAAAGAGCUCGUAGGCGGUUCGGUAAGUCAGGUGUGAAAUCUCCACGCUCAACGUGGAGGGGCCACCUGAUACUGCCGUGACUCGAGUCCGGUAGGGGAGUGUGGAAUUCCCGGUGUAGCGAUGAAAUGCGCAGAUAUCGGGAGGAACACCAGUAGCGAAGGCGGCACUCUGGGCCGGAACUGACGCUGAGGAGCGAAAGCGUGGGUAGCAAACAGG